CCGAAUUCGUCGACACAGAGUUUGAUCCUGGCUCAGAGCGAACGCUGGCGGCGUGCCUAACACAUGCAAGUCGAACGUGAACGGGGGCAACCCCUAGUAAAGUGGCGUACGGGUGAGUAACACGUAGGUAAUCUACCCUAGAGUCUGGAAUAACCGGCCGAAAGGCUGGCUAAUACUGGAUAGAGCGACGGAAUCCGUAAUUGGGUUUUUCGGGAAAGGGAGGUCGUAAGACCCUUCGCUCUAGGAUGAGCCUGCGUCCCAUCAGCUAGUUGGCGAGGUAACGGCUCACCAAGGCAAUGACGGGUAGCUGGUCUGAGAGGAUGAUCAGCCACACUGGAACUGAAACACGGUCCAGACUCCUACGGGAGGCAGCAGUGGGGAAUCUUGCGCAAUGGACGAAAGUCUGACGCAGCCACGCCGCGUGAGUGAAGAAGGCCUUCGGGUUGUAAAGCUCUGUCGGAAGGGACGAAAAUGGCUCGGGUUAACAGCCCGAGCAACUGACGGUACCUUCAAAGGAAGCACCGGCUAACUCUGUGCCAGCAGCCGCGGUAAUACAGAGGGUGCAAGCGUUGCUCGGAAUUAUUGGGCGUAAAGGGUAGGUAGGUGGUCUGAUUUGUCUAUUGGUGAAAUCCCGGGGCUUAACUCCGGAAGUGCCACAGAAACGGUCAGACUUGGAGUACUGGAGAGGUGAGCGGAAUUCCCGGUGUAGCGGUGAAAUGCGUAGAGAUCGGGAGGAACACCAGAGGCGAAGGCGGCUCACUGGACAGUUACUGACACUCAACUACGAAAGCGUGGGGAGCAAACAGGAUUAGAUACCCUGGUAGUCCACGCCGUAAACGAUGGGUACUAGCUUUGGCGGGGCUUGACCCCUGCUGAACCGGAACUUACGCACUUAAUACCCCGCCUGGGAAGUACGGUCGCAAGAAUAAAACUCCAAAGAAUUUGACGGGGGGCCCGCACAAGGGGUGGGAUCAUGGGGGUUUAAUUUCGAAGCCAACGCGAAAAAACCUUUACUGGGGUUUGGACUUCCUCCGGGAAAAACGUAAGAAAAUACGGUUCUUUUU
rnacentral:rRNA from 1 species